ACUGGGCUUUUCGGGAGGGGGGUCUUAAGGAGACAGGAGCUAAAACCGAGCGAUUCAGACAGAGGCUGAAAAGAGGUGCUCAGCUGUAGGCAGUAUGAGAAAAAUAAUGUGUUUUUUGAACAUUAAAACAUCUAAACCUAUUGUAGGAGAGCCACAAAAUACAAUUAUGAACCUGAAAAGGGGCAUAAUAUGACUCCUUUAAAGGGACACUUCACCCAUUUGCAUUAAGCUUUGUAUCAUUAGAACCCCAGUCAUAUUUUUGAAUGGUCGUGCAUCAUUCCCUCACUUCCCCUGAGAGGGGAGAAAUAAGGAUUUUAGUGUUGCACUUCCUGCUUCCAAUGAUGUAAAAAUCAUCAUUUUGCGUCAUUGGAAGCAGGAAGUCUCAUAUCUCUGCAGAGGGGGUGAGACUACAAACACUACUUCCUCAUUUUUUUUUCACUCACGCUACAGACCUAUUACAGAUCAGUGGGUGGGACUAAAAAAUAUAACCGCCAUCUUGUUUGGAAGCUAAGCGGAGGCGCUGACGAGCCAGACGUUACGACUAUGGUAAUCAAUCUAAUAUGGAAGAAAUUUCUAAAGUAGUUGGUUGAAUCAGAUGUUCAUGGCUACCUUUAUGAGCCACAAUAUAGCGAAGAGCAGCUGAGGCUGAACAGGAGGCGGCUGAGGCUUCUGCAGCCGAGGCAGAGGACCUGCCUGUCGCGGACGAAGAGCCCGGACUGGCUCGAGCUGGGGUGGACUGCUGGUGCCUGUGCUCUCGCUGUGCGCCUACGGACACACGGACGUCUGACUGUAAAACAAUAUCGCUAACAGCCUUUCUGGAAUGGGUCCUGCAAGGCGAGAGAUUGGGUCGAGGCCAUCGUGUCGUUUUACCCGCUGAUGUGGUGCAGGCUAUCCGACAGAAAUAUCCAGCUCCAGAUGGCCAGUACUGCGGCACCGAGGAGUUGAGGACGCUCAGGAGGAACUAUAACUGUCAUUGUUAACAUAUUUAUUUUUGUUGUUGUUGAUAUAUUUCUAUAAAUAAAUGGUUUACAUUCACGUUGUUGUAGUCCUUGAUAGUGUUAGUGGGAGUGGCUUGCGGAGCUGUGCAUUGUGGGAGUUGUUGUCUUUAAUACAAAUGCGCCCUAAAGUCACUUUCUGUCUUUUCUCGGUCAAAUAGGCACCAAAUUCAAAAUGUAUGUUAAAUUUCGACUACAUAUAUAACCCACUUUCAAUAAAUAUUAAUGUUUC